UGGGGAAUUUUGGACAAUGGGCGAAAGCCUGAUCCAGCCAUGCCGCGUGAGUGAAGAAGGCCUUCGGGUUGUAAAGCUCUUUCGGACGGGAAGAAAUCAUGAGGGCUAAUAUCCCUUGUGGAUGACGGUACCGUAAUAAGAAGCACCGGCUAACUACGUGCCAGCAGCCGCGGUAAUACGUAGGGUGCGAGCGUUAAUCGGAAUUACUGGGCGUAAAGCGUGCGCAGGCGGUUUUGUAAGACAGGCGUGAAAUCCCCGGGCUCAACCUGGGAACUGCGCUUGUGACUGCAUCACUUGAGUACGGCAGAGGGGGGUGGAAUUCCACGUGUAGCAGUGAAAUGCGUAGAGAUGUGGAGGAACACCGAUGGCGAAGGCAGCCCCCUGGGUCGAUACUGACGCU
rnacentral:rRNA from 1 species